rnacentral:rRNA from 1 species
GAUGAACGCUGGCGGCGUGCCUAAUACAUGCAAGUCGAGCGAACGGACGAGAAGCUUGCUUCUCUGAUGUUAGCGGCGGACGGGUGAGUAACACGUGGAUAACCUACCUAUAAGACUGGGAUAACUUCGGGAAACCGGAGCUAAUACCGUAUAAUAUUUUGAACCGCAUGGUUCAAAAGUGAAAGACGGUCUUGCUGUCACUUAUAGAUGGAUCCGCGCUGCAUUAGCUAGUUGGUAAGGUAACGGCUUACCACGGCGACGAUGCAUAGCCGACCUGAGAGAGUGAUAGGCCACCCUGGAGCUGAGACGCGGUCAAGACUCCUGCGGGAGGCAGCAGUAGGGAAUCUUCCGCAGUGGGCGAGAGCCUGACGGAGCGACGCCGCGUGAGAGAUGACGGUCUUCGGAUCGUAAAACUCUGUUAUUAGGGAAGAACAUAUGUGUAAGUAAAUGUGCAGAUCUUGACGGUAACUAAUAAGAAAGCAACGGCUAACUACGUG